CCACGAGCAGCCCCACUGAUUGCUGUAUUCGUUUGCAACCCUUAAACAGGGAAAUCUGAAAAAAUGUCAGAAAAUCUCACAUCCAGCAAGACCACUUUGAAAGGUCCAAAAGCUUCGGCAAAGAAACAGAAAGGUGGAAACAAAGCUAAGGAAUCCUCAAAAGGAAAAGGAAAACAGCUCGGUGAAAAAGAUGAAGCUGAUCUUUCUAUGGCUAGUAUAGGCCACCCAGAAAUCUUUCCUUUAGCCAUGACAACAAAGACCCAAGAAAUUUUUAAUUGCCGAGUUGAUGAAGAUGUCACAGAAGAAAAUUGUUUCAAAAUUAUUAAAAUAGAAGACAUCAUUCAGGACCUGGAAACAAGAGCUAACAUUUCUGAUUUCUAUCCUGUCAGAAAAGUUGUCCUAGAAUAUCCAGGUGAAGAACUUUUGAUAGUUUUUGAUGCAAAGUUCCAGUACGGACAGAACUUUUACAUUGUUGCUUCUGAGGAAGCCAAGGAAAACCUUGUAAAGCCUCCAGAAACUGCAGAAGAAAAAGAAGAAGAUAUAGAGGAAAUUGUGGAUCCUUUUAAGCCUCUUGUCCCCAGACCCUGGGUUUCUCUUGGCAGCGAAAAGGAAGUUGAAGAAGAAUCUGUUAAAGACAAUGUUACAAAGAUUAAGUUCAAGAUUUCUCGAGUACGCAGGAAAUUUGGUGCACCAAUUGCAUUUACUGAUAAGAACGCUUCACACGGAACAGACGGUUAUGUUGAAUGCACAUCCUACGAAGACAAAACUUUCAGUAUUAAAAUGCUUGAAAAAGAUGUGGGGCUGCAAAUAGUUCCAAAAGUAAGAGAAGCUAGUACUCAGACAAAAUGGACCUAUCCAAAAAAUGCAGCCAUGCAAUAUUGUCCUAGGCAGUUGUCAGAGGAAGAGAAAGCAGAGAGUCUGUCAUCUGAGAAGCUGAAAGAAUUUCUUACGUCAAUACACUUAAGAGUGGAAAUUGCAUUGCAGCAAAAUGAAAUUAUGAAUGCUUUUUUUGAUGACUGGAAGGCCCUAGCCGAAGACAAAAGCAGUUCUGAUGGCAAGCCAGACAUUUACCUUAAAGCAUACCAAUCAUUUACCAACGAGCAGUACCUCAAGGACAGAACCAUUAGCUGUAUUUGCUGGCAUCCAACCAUUUCUGGGAUUAUAGCAGUGUCAGCAAGACAGCAGCUUUCUUAUGAAGAGCAAAUUAAACUUUCCAAUAAAUCACUGCUGCACCAGUCAGUAAUACUUUUUUGGAGUUUUUCUGACCCUAUCCACCCCCAGUUAAUACUGGAGUGUCGUGAAGACAUUUACUGCUUUCAGUUCAGUCCAAGUGAUCCAAAUAUAAUUGCUGCUGGCUGCAUCAAUGGACAGAUUGUACUGUGGGAUAUUUCUCAACAUGGAGGAAAAAUGCAAAAUGAAAAACCUGUUGCUGAUGAAGGCGUUGACUCAGACAGCGAGGCGACAGCAGCGGCAGAAGUGGCAGCUAAGCCGUCACUUAUGCAAGUCCAGCAGAGUAGCACAGAGCCACCUCUAGUGAAAUACUGUGCAGUCUCUUCCAAAGAGUAUAGUCAUAAAAAGCCAGUAACAGACAUACAGUGGCUGCCACGUCAUUCUGAGGACAACCAAAACAGAGGUGAAAAUUGCCUGCAGCUUGUAACCUGCUCCCCUGAUUGCUCAAUAUUAUUUUGGGAUAUUCCAGCCAUGGAAAAUCAGGAAAAGGCUUUAUCUAGUGUUCCAGAUACUUCUAAGCAUUUAGAUCUCUCAUGGAAACCUCUCAUAAAGAUAAGUCUGCAUGAAAGAGAUACCAACACAGAGUAUGGUCCCACCAGAAUUAUUUUAAGAGAACUGCAUUAUUGUUACAAAACCUCAGGGAAGGCGAAAUCUCUGAGUGCAGUAAAAGCACCUGCCAAAGAGAGCCCAUAUACAGAGAUGAGUAGUUCUUCAAGCAAAAAUCUAGAAGUGCUCGAGAAUAUAUCCACCAACUUUUUUGUUGGAAACAAAGAUGGAGUAAUUGUUUAUUCUGACUGGAAAAUGAAAAUUGAUGCUAAUUCGGCAAAACCAGUUAGUCAGCAUCAGACUCAGAAAUACAGCCUUCACACUGAAACUAUCAACACUCUCCAGAGAUCUCCAUUUUUUAAAGACACCUUCCUAAGCAUUGGAGGCCAGAAUUUUGCCAUUUGGAAAGAAGGGGUUACAAAUGGACCAAUCCUUCAGUCAAGCUGCUCUGCAGGAAGAUACACUGCAGGACAAUGGUCCUUAGCAAGACCAGGAGUUUUGUUCAUUGGCAGAGAUGAUGGAAAUAUAGAUAUUUGGGACUUACUGAAGAAAACUCAUGAGCCAUCUCAUUUCCAGAACAUCUCCAAAUCAGCCAUCACUUUCAUCAGCCCCGGGACUGCCUCACCGGAGCAGCAUUUUUUAGCUGUUUCUGACAAUCUUGGAGUACUGCAUGUUUUGGAAAUCUGUCAAACACUAAGUCAUCCUUCCAGUAAUGAGGUUGCAUGCCGAUGUACUUGAUUUCUUUGAAAGAGAAGUCAAAUACCUGAAGUACUGUGAACAAGAGUUCCAAGAGUAUCAAAAGUUUCAAGCCAAAACAGAACUGAAAUGGAGCUGGAGGCACAGAGAGAGAAAACAAGUAUGACUAUUCUACAGAAAACAAGAGAUGGAGGAGCAAGAAAACUGUAUUUCUGGACCUGGAGAAGCAGAUAAUAUUGGAUUUAGAGACAAGAAAUAUUUCACUCACUGGAUACUUUGAGCCCAUUAUCACCUUUAGAACCAGCGAGCUUUUUAUUUGAAGACCUCUAUUUCAGCAGAA